rnacentral:rRNA from 1 species
UACGUAGGGACCAAGCGUUGUUCGGAUUUACUGGGCGUAAAGGGCGCGUAGGCGGCUUAACAAGUCACUUGUGAAAUCUCCGGGCUUAACUCGGAACUGCCAAGUGAAACUGUUAUGCUAGAGUGCAGAAGGGGCAAUCGGAAUUCUUGGUGUAGCGGUGAAAUGCGUAGAUAUCAAGAGGAACACCUGAGGUGAAGACGGGUUGCUGGGCUGACACUGACGCUGAUGCGCGAAAGCCAGGGGAGCAAACAGG